AGGUCUGUAGCUCAGUUGGCAGA
rnacentral:miRNA from 1 species